rnacentral:rRNA from 1 species
GACGAACGCUGGCGGCGUGCUUAACACAUGCAAGUCGAACGCUGAAGCCCAGCUUGCUGGGUGGAUGAGUGGCGAACGGGUGAGUAACACGUGAGUAACCUGCCCCCUUCUUUGGGAUAACGCCCGGAAACGGGUGCUAAUACUGGAUAUUCACUGGCCUUCGCAUGGGGGUUGGUGGAAAGGUUUUUUCUGGUGGGUGAUGGGCUCGCGGCCUAUCAGCUUGUUGGUGGGGUGAUGGCCUACCAAGGCUUUAACUGGUUGCCGGCCUGAGAGGGUUACCGGUCACUUUGGGACUGAGGUACGGCCCAAACUCCUACGGGAGGCAGCAGUGGGGAAUACUGAACAAUGGGCGAAAGCCUGAUGCAUCUGCGCCGCGUAUGGAAGACGGCCUUCUGUUUGUAAACCUCUUUCUCUCAGGAUCAUGCCUUUGCUUUGGUUUGUGGGGAUGGUUUUUGGAUAGAGCGUGCGGGCUAUGUUGUCUUGUGUACCUUCUAAAUUAUGCGCCUGGACUAGGUUGUUGGGUGGUGGUUGUUAGAGGGGAAUUUUGUUUCUUGAUGGUUGUGGGGUUGUGGUGUUGGGUGUGACACAUUUGUGAUGUUGGCUGGUUUUUGGUGUGGGUGUGUUGUUUUGUUUGUGGUUUUUGUGUUUGUGUUUGUGUGUUGUGGGUGUGUGUUGUUGUGUUUGUGUGAUUGUAUUUGUGUUGUGAUGUGUGUUGUGUGGGUGCUGCAUUUGGUGGUGUGGUGUUGGUUUGUGUUGGGGGUGGGGUGUUUUGUUGAAAUGAAAAAAAAAAUAUAUGUGUAUUUGGGUUAUUGUUGUGUGUGUGGAAUUGUGUUUUUGUUGUUCUGUGUGUUGUUUGUGUUGUGGUGUUGUGUGUGUGUUGUUUGUGUGUUGUGAGUUGAUUGGAUUUCGCUGUGUGUGUGUGGUGUGUGGGUGUGUGUGUGUGUGUCGUGGGGGUGCUGUCACGUAGUGCUCUGCCUGCCCCUGCCUGCCCCUCGUGAU